UGGCGGACGGGUGAGUAAUGUCUGGGAAACUGCCUGAUGGAGGGGGAUAACUACUGGAAACGGUAGCUAAUACCGCAUAACGUCGCAAGACCAAAGAGGGGGACCUUCGGGCCCCUUGCCAUCGGAUGUGCCCAGAUGGGAUUAGCUAGUAGGUGGGGUAACGGCUCACCUAGGCGACGAUCCCUAGCUGGUCUGAGAGGAUGACCAGCCACACUGGAACUGAGACACGGUCCAG
rnacentral:rRNA from 1 species